GAUGAACGCUGGCGGCGUGCCUAAUACGUGCAAGUCGAGCGAACUGAUUAGAAGCUUGCUUCUAUGACGUUAGCGGCGGACGGGUGAGUAACACGUGGGCAACCUGCCUGUAAGACUGGGAUAACUUCGGGAAACCGAAGCUAAUACCGGAUAGGAUCCUCUCCUUCAUGGGAGAUGAUUGAAAGAUGGUUUCGGCUAUCACUUACAGAUGGGCCCGCGGUGCAUUAGCUAGUCGGUGAGGUAACGGCUCACCAAGGCAACGAUGCAUAGCCGACCUGAGAGGGUGAUCGGACACACUGGGACUGAGACACGGCCCAGACGCCUACGGGAGGCAGCAGUAGGGAAUCUUCCGCAAUGGACGAAAGUCUGACGGAGCAACGCCGCGUGAGUGAUGAAGGCUUUCGGGUCGUAAAACUCUGUUGUUAGGGAAGAACAAGUACAAGAGUAACUGCUUGUACCUUGACGGUACCUAACCAGAAAGCCACGGCUAACUACGUGCCAGCCGCCGCCGCAG
rnacentral:rRNA from 1 species